rnacentral:pre_miRNA from 1 species
UUGAAGAAUUUGAAGACUUCAACUUGCAGACUUGAAGAAUUUGAAGACUUCAACUUGCAGACUUGAAGAAUUUGAAGACUUCAACU